UACGGAGGGUGCGAGCGUUGUCCGGAAUCACUGGGCGUAAAGGGCGCGUAGGUGGCGCGGGCAGUCAACGGUGAAAGUUCGGGGCUCAACCCUGAAUCGGCCGUCGAUACUCCCGGGCUUGAGCACUGUAGAGGCAGAUGGAAUUCCGGGUGUAGCGGUGGAAUGCGUAGAGAUCCGGAAGAACACCGAUGGCGAAGGCAGAUCUCUGGGCCGUAACUGACGCUGAGGAGCGAAAGCGUGGGGAGCGAACAGG
rnacentral:rRNA from 1 species